rnacentral:ncRNA from 1 species
CAUAACUUUGGAGAAGCUCAUUAAAUUGAGUGCCGAAGGGGCAAAGCGGGUUUCCGCUAAUCUCUCAGGCAAAAGGACAAAGU